AACGAACGCUGGCGGCAUGCCUAACACAUGCAAGUCGAACGAGAUCUUCGGGUCUAGUGGCGCACGGGUGCGUAACGCGUGGGAAUCUGCCCUUUGGUUCGGAAUAACAGUUGGAAACGACUGCUAAUACCGGAUGAUGACGAAAGUCCAAAGAUUUAUUGCCAGAGGAUGAGCCCGCGUAGGAUUAGCUAGUUGGUGUGGUAAAGGCGCACCAAGGCGACGAUCCUUAGCUGGUCUGAGAGGAUGAUCAGCCACACUGGGACUGAGACACGGCCCAGACUCCUACGGGAGGCAGCAGUGGGGAAUAUUGGACAAUGGGCGAAAGCCUGAUCCAGCAAUGCCGCGUGAGUGAUGAAGGCCUUAGGGUUGUGAAGCUCUUUUACCCGGGAUGAUAAUGACAGUACCGGGAGAAUAAGCUCCGGCUAACUCCGUGCCAGCCGCCGCAGUAA
rnacentral:rRNA from 1 species